GCGCACGGGUGCGUAAUCCGUGGGAAUCUGCACUUGGGUUCGGAAUAACUCAGGGAAACUUGAGCUAAUACCGUAUACUGACUUCGGUCCAAAGAUUUAUCGCCUGAGGAUGAGCCCGCGUCGGAUUAGCUUGUUGGUGAGGUAAAAGCUCACCAAGGCGACGAUCCGUAGCUGGUCUGAGAGGAUGAUCAGCCACACUGGGACUGAGACACGGCCCAGACUCCUACGGGAGGCAGCAGUGGG
rnacentral:rRNA from 1 species